UUUGAUCAUGGCUCAGAUUGAACGCUGGUGGCAUAGCUUUACACAUGCAAGUCGAACGGCAGCGCGAACUUCGGUCUGGCGGCGAGUGGCGAACGGGUGAGUAAUAUAUCGGAACGUACCCAAGAGUGGGGGAUAACGUAGCGAAAGUUACGCUAAUACCGCAUACGAUCUAAGGAUGAAAGCAGGGGAUCUUCGGACCUUGUGCUCCUGGAGCGGCCGAUAUCUGAUUAGCUAGUUGGUGAGGUAAAGGCUCACCAAGGCAACGAUCAGUAGCUGGUCUGAGAGGACGACCAGCCACACUGGAACUGAGACACGGUCCAGACUCCUACGGGAGGCAGCAGUGGGGAAUUUUGGACAAUGGGGGCAACCCUGAUCCAGCAAUGCCGCGUGAGUGAAGAAGGCCUUCGGGUUGUAAAGCUCUUUUGUCAGGGAAGAAAAGGGUCUGGCUAAUAUCCAGAUCUGCUGACGGUACCUGAAGAAUAAGCACCGGCUAACUACGUGCCAGCAGCCGCGGUAAUACGUAGGGUGCAAGCGUUAAUCGGAAUUACUGGGCGUAAAGCGUGCGCAGGCGGUUUUGUAAGUCUGUCGUGAAAUCCCCGGGCUUAACCUGAGAAUGGCGAUGGAGACUGCAAGGCUAGAGUUUGCCAGAGGGGGGUAGAAUUCCACGUGUAGCAGUGAAAUGCGUAGAGAUGUGGAGGAACACCCGAUGGCGAAGGCAGCCCCCUG
rnacentral:rRNA from 1 species